AAAGGGUGCGUAGGUGGUUGUGUAAGUUAGGUGUGAAAGUCCUGGGCUUAACCUGGGGACUGCGCCUAAUACUGCAAAGCUAGAGUACUGUAGAGGAAAGUGGAAUUUCCGGUGUAGCGGUGAAAUGCGUAGAUAUCGGAAGGAACAUCAGUGGCGAAGGCGACUUUCUGGACAGAUACUGACACUGAGGCACGAAAGCAUGGGGAGCAAACAGGAUUAGAUACCCGAGU
rnacentral:rRNA from 1 species